rnacentral:rRNA from 1 species
GACGAACGCUGGCGGCGUGCCUAAUACAUGCAAGUCGCACGCAGUUGGGACGGGUGAGUAACACGUGGGUAACCUCCCAUCAGAGGGGAUAACACUUGGAAACAGGUGCUAAACCGCUACUGUAGGAUGGACCCGAGGUGCAUGAGCUAGUUGGUGAGGUAACGGCACACCAAGGCCACGAUGCAUAGCGAGUCUGAGAGGGGGAUCGGCCAAACUGGGACUGUGACACGGCCCAGCCUCCUACGGGAGGCAGCAGUAGGGAAUCGUCGGCAAUGGGCGAAAGCCUGACCGAGCAAUGCCGCGUGAGUGAAGAAGGUUUGCGGAUCGUAAAACUCUGUUGUUAGGGAAGCGGUAUAUAACCAGAAAGCCACGGCUAACUACGUGCCAGCAGCCGCGGUAAUUC